CAGAUCGGUCUGUCAGCUCUGGGUUCUGGAACAGGUCUGGGAGAGAAAAUGCUACACAUCCUGAGGGAAAACAGGUCACGGGGAUUUGCAGGAAUCCAAUGUAGAACUGACACAAGAGAGCUCAUCUGUGGGGAUUUUCAUAUAUAUCAAGGAUCUGCCACACGACCAGGAAAGCUCUAGAAAUUGAAAGCAAGGCUGCAGUAAUCCCAGUGUUUCAGGAUGAGUUUAUCACCCAAGCUGAGCAGGCUGUGAGACUGACCCUCCUAGAAUGAGUGUGAAUCUCCACUUCUUGCUGCUGCUCUCCCUCCUGCAGGGUGUGUGUGUGAGCCCAGCUCCGCAGCCCCACCCGCCGGCCCCACCCUCCCUGGCCCUCUGGCUAGACACUGUUCUGUCUGGACGCGCUGCCCAGUUGCGGCCAGUCCUGGACUGGAGGACAGUCACACUAGUCACC